rnacentral:lncRNA from 1 species
CAAAAGCUGAGCGCUGUUUAAACCUUCUCCGCUUGUCCUUUGAGUUUCUGGAGCCUUCCAACUCUAGUGAGGUUUUCACAGCUCCAUUCCUCUGCUCAAAGUAUUUCUCUUCAUGUGAUUUAUUCCUGGCACCAUUGGCUCUUCGUGAUUACUCAGAGCCAAGGAGCCUAACAGAGUUCUGCUUCCUCCAGUGUUUCACUUCUAUCUGAUCAGAAUUGUAGAACAUGAUCCCCUGCACAAGAAAACAGCCUAUUUCUAAAGGCUUUUCUGAGAACCUCUUACAUGUAAGAUCCUGCUCAGCAUGAAAACAGGGCAUCAUUAUCUAUCAGGGAAGAAUGCCACAGACCUGCAGGCUGAGAAACGAAUGCAGAAGGGUUAUACCAGGAUGCUUUUACAUUUUGGAUGGCUGUACAGGAGUGCCUCUUGAGCUGCCUGAGGGACUGCUGGAUCAUCUUCUUUCACUCUUGUAUUCUAGAGGCAUCUGAGAUGGACAAGAGGAAAGGAAGAAACUAAAAUGGAGAACAUUGCAGAUGAGCAGAUAUCCUGUAAGCAAUUGUUUUAAA